AGGUGUUUGGUCUAGUGGUAUGGUUCUUGCUUCGGGUGCGAGACGCCGUAAACUUGAUUCUCACAACACCCU